GAUGAACGCUGGCGGCGUGCUUAACACAUGCAAGUCGAGCGAAGCACUUUUUUAGAACUCUUCGGAGGGAAGAGAGGGUGACUUAGCGGCGGACGGGUGAGUAACGCGUGGGCAACCUGCCUUACACAGGGGGAUAACAAUUAGAAAUGAUUGCUAAUACCGCAUAAGACCCCGGUACCGCAUGGUACAGAGGUAAAAACUGAGGUGGUGUAAGAUGGGCCCGCGUCUGAGUAGGUAGUUGGUGGGGUAGAAGCCUACCAAGCCGACGAUCAGUAGCCGACCUGAGAGGGCGACCGGCCACAUUGGGACUGAGACACGGCCCAA
rnacentral:rRNA from 1 species